UCCUCCCGCUGCCGCUUUUGGUACUGGGGACGUGGCCAAAGUCUGCAGAGGAAAAGAUCACGGCACCCCCUUGAGGCAAGGAAAUAAGAAAACUCCCUCUGAUCCGAGCAAAGCAGGUCCAACUUCAAUGGCGGAUCUGGUGGCCUUGGAGUGGCUGAAGACACCCACCCUCCACAGGGCUGCACUCAGGCACACAGCCAUUCUUCCUUUCCCAGAGUGAGCUUCUUCUGCACGUUGUUUAUAUCAUUGACAGAGCCUGUAGUUGGAAAGAGGGCCGAGUGACGACUGGACUUUGUAUGAAAACACCAACCUGGGACAGACCUUCAGUCAAUGCUGAGACAGGGUUGGAGGUAUAGAACGUGGCCUUGUCUUUAACUUGGAUCGUGACUGGCUCUGAGGGUAAGGCAGGGGCAGAGGAGGGGCUGAGGUUUGCCUAAAAGCUGGAAUCAGUGGCCCUGCCAACCCUAGAGCCAAGGCUAAGAUCCAGGCCAAGUCUGGAGCAGUGGCCAGGACACAGACAGUGACCUACACUGAGGCCGUGGCU
rnacentral:lncRNA from 1 species